AAAAGGUUUGGUCCUAGCCUUAUAAUUAGUUAGAGGUAAAAUUACACAUGCAAAUCUCUCUUCCCCAGUGCCUACCCUCUUAGGACUACCUUAAUUACUAGUCCAAGAAAAAGAUAUCAAGCACAUUASCUAAUAGCUCACAACAUCUCGCUCAGCCACACCCCCACGGGACACAGCAGUGAUAAAACUUAAGCAAUAAACGAAAGUUUGACUAAGUUAUACCUCCAAAGGGUUGGUAAAUUUCGUGCCAGCCACCGCGGUCAUACGAUUAACCCAAACUAAUUAUUCUCCGGCGUAAAAAGUGUUAUUUAUCCACUAAAUAGAAUUAAAAUUCAACUUAUAUGUGAAAAUUCAUUGUUAGAACCUAAACACAACCACGAAAGUAAUUCUAAUACUUUUAUAUACACGAUAGCUAGGAUCCAAACUGGGAUUAGAUACCCCACUAUGCCUAGCCCUAAACCUUAAUAAUUUAAAACAAAAUUAUUUGCCAGAGAACUACUAGCUACAGCUUAAAACUCAAAGGACUUGGCGGUACUUUAUAUCCAUCUAGAGGAGCCUGUUCUAUAACCGAUAAACCCCGUUACACCUACCAUCCCUUGCUAUACUAGCCUAUAUACCGCCAUCUUCAGCAAACCCUAAAAAGGAACUAAAGUAAGCAAAAGUAUAYCCAUAAAAACGUUAGGUCAAGGUGUAGCCUAUGGGCUGGGAAGCAAUGGGCUACAUUUUCUUACAAAGAACAUACGAAAACCUUUAUGAAAUCUAAAGAAUUAAGGUGGAUUUAGUAGUAAAUUAAGAAUAGAGCGCUUAAUUGAAUAGAGCAAUGAAGUACGCACACACCGCCCGUCACCCUCCUCAAAUUAAAUAAACAAAUAUAUACAUUAAUAAAUAACAUCAGCUAUUUAUGAGAGGAGAUAAGUCGUAACAAGGUAAGCAUACUGGAAAGUGUGCUUGGAAUAAU
rnacentral:ncRNA from 1 species